GAACAAACGAAUGAAUAAUUCGCAGCCUAAGUAGAUAAAUAAUGAUACAAAAACAAAUCUAAAAAGAUGCACAUCAAUAAAAAGUAAAAUGACCACAGGAAAUAAGGCGUAGCUUUAUCUAAGACCAUUGGAUGGCAAAGCCAGCGGGUAAGAUUGAUAUUAAUUAUUUGCUAAGAAAACAAAUCCAUCCCUCAAACUUAAUGGAUUUCUGAGUCUGGAGCUAUCUAUCUAAAAUAAUAUGAGACAUACAUAUAAAGAAGAUUAAAUAUAUCAAAGUAUGAUCAAAGACAAACAAAAUCUGAUUAUAAGUAUUUGUUUAACGGUCGGGACCACGAGCCUUCUUUUAUCUAUAUAAACAGUAGUGCGACCCUUCAACCCAGACCUAAGUCACCAGUUCACCAUUGAGAAAGUUAUCUUUCCUCAUUAAAAUAUCUUAAAUCAUUGGAUAAUCGGUAUUUGUUAUCUGACAAGAUUAAUCCUUAUAUUUAGAUGAAGAAGACAUUAUGUUUGUUGGUAAUUUAUUUCAAUAUACUUCAAACUGAUACUCAUUCGAAUCUCGUCGUCAAGAAUGUCAUAACUUUAUUUACUUCUGGUUUCAUUUCCACCAAGCCAGCAACCUCGUUAAUGCUCUUCUUUUGUUAAAUGAUAAGUGUCACUUUUUUAAGGUUAUUUUUGUGGAAUUUGGUAUUGUUGCCAAAUUUCUUUUUAUUUACGGGGGAGGGGGCAUUUACUAUGCUCGGGUCAUUUUUAUGAGCCUUUUCAUUCAUAAGGUCAUAUAUUUCACAAAUCAAAAGAUAAAAACAAGUACGGAAAGAGAGUUGUUGCAAAUGUGAUUAAUAAAUUAAAAUCAAAUACACAUACUGUGACAUCCUGGAAGAAAUAUAUUUAUAGUAAAUCAAUUAUAGAGUAGCAAUAUUUAUUCCAGGAACUUAUUGUAUAUAUAAACUGAUUUUGUUGUACAGUAGCGUAUUUGCCUGAGAAAUUUGUGCGUAUCUUGCGCAUAUUCUAUAUAAACAAAUUUCGUAAACAAAGAUUAUAUUGGUUUGUUCAGACAAUUCUUUACAGUGUAGAAUUAUUGUUUUUCAAUUUGUGUUAAAUUGUUGCUGGGUAGCCGUUUUAUUGACACUAUUCUAUUGUUCAUCAUUACAUAUAUCAUACACAUAAAAGCAGAACAUUUUUAAAACCGAUGUUGAUUUUUUUUCUGAAAUAAUUUUGUGGAAUAAAUCCAUUAACAUUUAGCGAUUUUCUGGCACGGCCAGCUGUUGUUUUUCUUUUGAUGAUGAUGAGCACGAGCGAUUGUCAUAGCAACCCUGUUUUUUUUUCUUCAAAAUAGAUAUUAAACGCACGUGCAGAUGAGGAAAUUUGAUAUCGCAUGUGUAAUCAUGAAACAAAAGAUCAUUUUCUAUCUUAUCUAUAUCACUGUGUAAUACAUCUGUUUUUACGACAUUAUCUAUUCGCAUGUAAAUCUGUUUAACUUUUACGACAGAAAUUUAUUUAUUUGUUUUGAUAUAAUACAUUGCGAGAAACAGGCCGAGGAAUGCAAUGAUUUUUUCUGUCCAUCUGAGAAGUAGGAGACAAAGAGUUAUUAGCAGGCAUAUGAACUAUCUCUCUCUCUCUCUCUCUCUCUCUCUCUCUCUCUCUCUCUAUAUAUAAACUUAUAACUUAAAAUGAAUAUAUAUAUAUAUAUAUAUAUACAACUCGUCUAAACAUCAACCCAACAAUGUUAGAUCUGUGCUUUCGCAAAUUUUUGGUUCUUCCCUCGCCGGGAUUCGAACCCAUGCUACUGUGAUAUCGUGACACCAAAUCGCCUGCACUGCAGCCGUCCCGCUAGACCACACGACCACCUGGGCUCUCAAAUAAAGAGCUUUCGCUGGUCGUGUGUUACCUUUCAUAUAUAUAUAUAUUCAUUUUAAGUUAUAAGUUUGCCACAUAUCAGGCUUUUUGAUUGUGGGAUGUCCGUUUAAUUCUCCAUUUCAGAGUCUAAUGUAUGAUGGGUAACUAUUUAAGUGUACAUCUAAACGUCGUGAUUGGAUUUAACAAUGGAAAUUCAACCAAUGACAUAACGUUAUUUAAAUUUUUGGUGUAGAAACAAUGAGAUUGCCCUUGUCCUUUAGAUUCUAAAGAGGACAAUUGUGCUGGAUGUAUAAAUACGCAGCCACGUCCGGACAGAUUUGGGACAUAACAUUCAAUUCGUCUCUGAUAUCUGAAUUUUCUUAGAUAUUGACUGACGGCUGACUUGAAACAUAAUCUAUGAAACAUUUCAACUUUCAAAUUCUUAACUUUCUCGUGUUUAUAGAUAGCGUGUUAGGCUCUAUGCACGUUCAGAACUCCAGCCAUAACUCUUGGAUGAGUCCGGCUUUAGAAUAUGUAUGUUGCAAGGCUAAAAUGUCUUCAUCCUGAUCGACCUUUCACAGGAUUUACUUACUUAUAUUAUCUAGUUUUAUUUUGUUCUUUUCCUGACAUGUAAGAAACAUAUUUGUCACUGGGUGUUAAGAACAAGAAUCCAAUGUUUUACACAACAAAAUAUCCAAAAAUACACCUAACCAGAAAAUCAAUGAAAGCACAACUUAAUUCUAACGUCGUCGUUAAACAGUAUUGAUAAUUUUUUAAACAUGAAUAUUUGGACUGUAUUAAAAUAUUCAUAUGCCAAAUGCGCGUGGUAUACACGACGUGUUUGUUAGACAUAUCGUGCACUGUCCAAUAAACUAAUCUGACACCGACGUCUUUAAUUACUGUAGAAACCAUUUGUACAUAGUUUUGUGAAAUUAAGCUCCUAUUUCAUGGAACCACGCGUAUAAGCACACGCACAACUUCACAUAUUUCUAUGACAACCUGACUUUUAUUAGGUGUUAACUCCAUGGUUGAGUUUUGUGGUGGACCAAUACAUAAUAAAUGCCUUCAAAUGACCAUAGAAAUAAUCCAAAAGUCAAUAAAUGAAAGUCACACGCCAUCACAUUAACGUGUAGGUCCGACAUGAUAGAAUCCAUGUUAAUGUCUCCUUUGUUUUCAAGUUUUUUUGGUGGUUUUUUUUAAGUCUAUACUGAAGUCCUAGGGUUAAGAAAUAACAUUAAGUUGACUUAUUUACCACCACGCAUACACUGACAGUCAAAACUAUGUUUUUUUUUUGUCUUUUUUUAAAUAAGUGAAAAUAUAAAUGCUAUUCCAGUUAUACCGCAUAAAUGAGGAUUUUCACCUUUUAUUUCCAAAAUUGAUAGGUCAUCGUCCCUAAUAUAUUUAUUAACUUAUUUCUUAGUUACGAGAGACUGACACCAUUGAAACAAUUUUUCCAUUUCAAUUGAUCCAACAAAUGUUACACUUUCACUUAGCCAAGGUUACAACCGAACACUGACCUUCACAGCUCUAUCUACUUUACAUAUUUUUUUAUGAGCAUCGGAUAAUCUGCUGGGGGUCUGCUUACAUUCGGAAUUCAUGUUUGAUGUUCGAGCGUUCACCUUUAAAUCAUGCAUGUUCAAGUGAAUAACAAUCCUAUUUUUGUUUUGAUUUGGAAGAAGACAGGUGCAUAGGUGCAUACACGGCAUUGCAUUCAUGUUGUUGUUUGUUUUUAUCAAUUUUUUUUUGCCUCAAACGCAAUGAACGUGACAAUGGAAUCAUGUAACAAAGGCCGAUCAUCCAUAAAUAAAAAAAGGAGUGAAAGUUUGACUGGAAGAAAUUUAAUUGAUUUUAAAUUGGGAGAAAACUUGAACAUCUCAGUUGCGGCAUCAGAAACUUCCGCAGCAUGUGUUAAUUGCGUAAAUUUCAAACGCAAGGAUGAAUUCGCUACAGUAGAUAUUCAAGUGUCCAUAAAAUGCAAACAAAAAAAGUGUUUUUAUACUUUAUUUUCCUGGCGUUUAAAAGCCUCACUGAUCUGUUGGACGGGUUUAUGAUCAAUUGAAACAAUUUUUCAACAUGUGCCCGUGAAUCUAAAAAGCUUUAAGAUAUUGCCCUUCACAUCUCUCCCCACCGAGAAUACAAGUUCCUGUAAACAUUACAUUUCUAGGCGGAUCCAGGGGGUCAUUGAGAGCCCGGACCCCCUCCCCCUUAUGUGGGAAACAUUUGCUUGAUUACCUAGGAAAUCACUGAAGAUGACUCGGGCGCCCCUUAAGGGCAUUCAAUGCCCAAACCCCUUUAUAAAUCUGGAUCCGCCACUGACACGCAUGUGUUAGUUGCUUUGCAUGAGGCAGGGAUUAUUUCGCCUUCAGACCAAUUUAACAAGAUUUACACACCAUUUCAAAAUUUUGAUGUGGUAUGUAACUGGUUUGGAGCCUGUAAUUCAGUAGUUGUCGUUUGUUGCUGCAUGUGAACAUAUUUGUUUUUCGUUCAUUUUUUGUACAUAAAUUAAGCCGUUAGUUUUCUCGAUUGCAUUGUUUUACAUUUGUGCUUUUCCUGCCUUUUAUAGCUGACUGUCUUUGUUCAUUGUUGAAGGCCGUAGGGUUACCUAUAGCUGUUUAUUUUUGUGUCAUUUGUCUCAUUGGCAAUCAUGUCACAUCUUCUUUUUAUAUAUGUCCUUUUAGUCUGCACACCAUUUCAAAAUAUUGAUGUGCUUUGUGUCAAUUUAAUUUAUUCGAUCGUUUUCCACCAUUUAAAUCGUCCACCACAACAGUACUAUAAGAUUUCUGGAAGAUUUGAAUAUAUACAAACAAUGGCUUAUCGAUGUUAAAUAAUAUUUAAACAUUUACUUAUCGAGUUGGAACACGUUUGUUUAUAGAAGUUACAUGUUUAAACAUGAAACAUUGUAUUUAAAUAUUGAUUUAUACAAACAAAAGAAGAACAAAACAAUUAGCAUUCUUUACACAUUCUUUAGAAUUUACACAAUUUUAUCACGCACUAUAUAGAGCCGAGUCUGGCGUCAGCAACAUGUAAUAUCAAUAGACCAAAGACGUGAGAAUUGUUGUAUAAAAGGAAUAAGAUUUCGUGAGAAUUAUUGUCAAAUUGAAAAAAUGAUUCCGUGAGAACUAUAUGGUCAAGUUAUAAAAGAAAUAUUCCGUGAGAACUACUAUAAAGUUAGAAUAAAGAUUUAGAAGAACAUCCCCAAAGGAAAUACUGUACACGUUGUUCCUCAUGCUGAUUCAGUGACUGAUGGUGCAGAAGAGCACCUUAGCUUUACGGUAAUGAUGUUAUUUAAAGAGGUCCUAAGUUAUGAUACGACCAGUAUGAACUUACUUAUUACUAUUGCGUUAUAUGUGUUAUUGCGCCAUGUUUCAAUGUAAGUAGGAUGUGAGACAAACAUGUUUUGACCCUGCCGUAUUAUGAACCCCUUAUGAGUACUAGUAUAUAAAUGUGCAUUUAAAUAGAUGGUAUUACUUGACGAGUCUGUCACAUGUAAUACAACAGACUCAGUAGUCGUUAAUAUUUAAUAUAUCACGGGUCCGCUCAUGGCUAACAAUAUGGUAUUGGUUUGGUCAUUGUUGAAAGCCUAAUCUUGAUCUGCCCUAUUGUUCACAUCUCUGAUCUUUGGUCUUUUUUAUUUUUACGAAAUUCGUAGGACGUUUUAUGAAACAAAACAGUGGACUGAGCGCUAGUAUUUUUAAGGACAAACCCAAUAGAGGCAUGCAAACAAUCAGAUAGAGAACCCAAAACAGAAAACAGUUACACAAAACACAAGCGGAUAUUCCUUGCUACUUACAGUGGAAGACGGAAAGAGCCUGUUUGAGAAGAAAUUGGAGCAAGAGGGAAUUCGAAUAAUUCAGCCCCUCCCCGUAAUCGAUCUCUCCUGUACUGGCUAGGUUAAUGAAGUAAUCGAAAAUCAGCGGAAUAGAACGACUGAAUUAUUCGGGUUAAGCUGAGGGUUAAGCAAGAGGGAAAACAAAUUAAAAUGAAAGACUAAAGUAAUAACAGAAAAGAGAGUUUGUUCCUACAAGGGAGUAUUGAAAGGUUUUCGAACACAUUUUACUUUAAAAAUACUUUCGAAAUAUACAAGCGCUUGACCAUUCUGACAGUUAACAUUCCCCCCUUUACUAUAAAAACUACGAUGAAUUACUAUCAAUUUUUGACCCAGUUACUUAACCAAUCAAAACAUAAAUAUAGUAACAAGAUUAUACAUGUUUUUGUAAGUCAAUGACCUCCUCGCACUUUAAAAAUAUCAACUUAUUUACAUACGUGAACUAGAUACAUGAUUAAACACCUGGGAAAGAAAAAUAUUUAAAUACAAAAAUUGGAGGUUGAAACGAAUUAAAGGAAAAGAUUAAAAUAUAUGAUUAUGAAUAAGGUAAAAUAAAGGUAUAUGAGUCUUUUAUGAAGUAAACAAACAACAUAUUUUCCGAUAGGGUAAUCUAAUCUGCUACGGCGAAUCUAGCUUAUUCUUUACAUCAGUAAAUAUUUCUAUUUCACCACGAUAAUUGACAAGUUGUCAAAAAAGUGCUACUAAGAGGAACAAAUACAGCAAAAAUAACACCGAAAUACGAGAAGAAAAUAGCGCAUGUUUGUUGUCAAAACAAAACGAAUUAGAAUAAGAUAAAAGAAUCAUUUAUUCAUCUAUGCGGAAUGCCAUGCACAUUUGAUUGAAAACACAUGUAGGUAAUUGGUUGCUUUCUUCUUUAAUCAAAACUGAGAAGCACGCUGCUAUACAAUUUAUCUUUCGCGUGUCUUACUCGUGCAUUUGCCAUAUUUAUUUAUGUUCUCUUUUCAGCAGAUCAUAUUUCAAACAUGUGUGGAUGGAUGUGUCCAGCCCGGAAAAAAGAUCAAAGUUGACCGUCAACGAUCCCAGGAUUUACAGCUCCCU
rnacentral:lncRNA from 1 species